GACGAACGCUGGCGGCGUGCUUAACACAUGCAAGUCGAACGAUGAUGCCCAGCUUGCUGGGUGGAUUAGUGGCGAACGGGUGAGUAACACGUGAGUAACCUGCCCCUGACUCUGGGAUAAGCGUUGGAAACGACGUCUAAUACUGGAUAUGACUUCCGGCCGCAUGGUCUGGUGGUGGAAAGAUUUUUUGGUUGGGGAUGGACUCGCGGCCUAUCAGCUUGUUGGUGAGGUAAUGGCUCACCAAGGCGACGACGGGUAGCCGGCCUGAGAGGGUGACCGGCCACACUGGGACUGAGACACUGCCCAGACUCCUACGGGAGGCAGCAGUGGGGAAUAUUGCACAAUGGGCGAAAGCCUGAUGCAGCAACGCCGCGUGAGGGAUGACGGCCUUCGGGUUGUAAACCUCUUUUAGUAGGGAAAAAGCGUAAGUGACGGUACCUGCAGAAAAAGCACCGGCUAACUACGUGCCAGCCGCCGCCGUAAAAC
rnacentral:rRNA from 1 species